GUGCUCGCUUUGGCAACACAUAUACUACAAUUGGAAUAAUACAGAGAUUAGUGUGGUCCCUGCACAAGGAUGACACACAAGUUUGUGAAGCAUUCUAUAUAUUU